rnacentral:lncRNA from 1 species
AAAAGGUCAUAAAACACAUGCAGGAGUUGCAUUGUUUCAGCAUGCCUGCAUUUUGUACACUGCUUCUACGCUGUUCCCAGUUAGCUGAGAUAUAUCUCAAUUUGUCUAGCACUGCAGCCGGAAGCGUUGGCCUAGGAGCAGAACGUGGAUAAGGAGCGACAGCAUGGCUCGUUAAAUUGAUGAGCUGAGAUCUGCUCUUACUUCGCCAUCUGGAAUUCUAGUCUGGGCUUCUGCUGAAAGCUGCUGACCUGGGACUCAACUUUUCAACCCAG